rnacentral:lncRNA from 1 species
UUGGGUCCAACCAAAUCAGAUUUGUAUUGAGACCAAAAUAGAAAUACCUAGAGUCCUAACUCAUUGGGAUUCUCUUCCUUGUGCAUGCCCUAGAAUCCAUGCCAAAUAUUACACGCUAAAGGAGUUUGGCGUGAAAUAUUUUUUGCAUGAAAAAAAGGGGCACAGAGAGGGUGGGCGGCAUCUCUUGAUGACUCAUCAUUUUAUCCCUUAACUAAUUUG